UACGGAGGAUCCAAGCGUUAUCCGGAAUCAUUGGGUUUAAAGGGUCCGUAGGCGGUUUAAUAAGUCAGUGGUGAAAGCCCAUCGCUCAACGGUGGAACGGCCAUUGAUACUGUUAAACUUGAAUUAUUAGGAAGUAACUAGAAUAUGUAGUGUAGCGGUGAAAUGCUUAGAGAUUACAUGGAAUACCAAUUGCGAAGGCAGGUUACUACUAAUGGAUUGACGCUGAUGGACGAAAGCGUGGUAGCGAACAGG
rnacentral:rRNA from 1 species